rnacentral:rRNA from 1 species
AUUGAACGCUGGCGGCAUGCUUUACACAUGCAAGUCGAACGGUAACAGGCCGCAAGGUGCUGACGAGUGGCGCACGGGUGAGUAAUGCAUCGGAACGUGCCCAGUCGUGGGGGAUAACUACUCGAAAGAGUAGCUAAUACCGCAUACGAUCUAUGGAUGAAAGCGGGGGACCGUAAGGCCUCGCGCGAUUGGAGCGGCCGAUGUCAGAUUAGGUAGUUGGUGGGGUAAAGGCUCACCAAGCCAACGAUCUGUAGCUGGUCUGAGAGGACGACCAGCCACCAUGGGACUGAGACACGGCCCAGACUCCUACGGGAGGCAGCAGUGGGGAAUUUUGGACAAUGGGCGCAAGCCUGAUCCAGCAAUGCCGCGUGCAGGAAGAAGGCCUUCGGGUUGUAAAAUGCUUUUGUUAGGAACGAAACGGGCCUGGUUAAUACCCGGGGCUAAUGACGGUACCGUAAGAAUAAGCCCCGGCUAACUACGUG